CUCUCAACGCUUUCAUCCAUCACUGGAACCCUUCCAUCCAUCGUACCAUCCAUCGUAACGCUUCCAUUGAUCAAAAUCUAGAUGUCUCAACCACAACGCUAGUAAGAUGUGGCCCAGUUAUAGACUUUCUCAAAUUGAUUGGUCAAAAGCAAAAUAAAUACUGAGGAAUUUAAGGAUAAAAGCUGCUUCUUCAAACACAGAGUAUAUGAUUGUUGGUUUGAGUUAACUGCCCUGCAAUCAGCAAUUGUUUUCUUGAAUGCUAUUUUGAACUUAGUUGAGGAGGAUAAAGAUGCAAGAGCUCUGAAUAGUACCGAUCUUUUGCACAAUUUUCUUCAUCAUUCUUCUUUGAAGUAGAUACUUGCAUUCUAAAGUUAGGUAAGAAUUCAAUGUACAACUUGUCAACAUGCAAACAGUACCUGCAAGUAUGUGACAUAAAGCAAAUAAAUAUUUACUCAUUAUCU